rnacentral:rRNA from 1 species
GACGAACGCUGGCGGCGUGCUUAACACAUGCAAGUCGAACGGAAAGGCCUGCUUUCUCUUGUGGUUUGGGGGUACUCGAGUGGCGAACGGGUGAGUAACACGUGAGCUAUCUGCCCCCAACUUGGGUAGAAGCCUGGGAAACUGGGUCUAAUUCCCGAUAGGACCGCAGGGUGGUUUCGGGGGUGGAGAACGAUUUGCUAGUGGUAGGGGAUGAGCUCGCGGCCUAUGAGGUUGUUGGUGGGGUAGUGUCCGACCAAGGCGGCGACGGGUAGCCGGCCGGGGGGGGUGGACGCCCGCAGUGGGACUGGGACACGGCCCCGACUCCUACGGGAGGCAGCAGUGGGGACGAUUGCACCAUGGGCGGAAGGCUGCUGCAGCGAGGCCGCGUGGGGGAUGACGGGCUUCGGGUUGUAAACUCCUUUCGACCGAGAGGAAGCCACCUGGCUGGAAGGGUGGUGACGGUAGUGGUAGAAGAAGCACCGGCUAACUACGUG